rnacentral:lncRNA from 1 species
CCACCUGUACCUCCAAACAUGGAACAAUCAUCUUUCCCUUGCAUGACAAGUGUAAAUUCUCCAUUCCUCUUUUUGUAUCCAUUAAUUUCUUCUACAUGCCCUGUAUAUAUACACACUGCAAUAAAUUAUCACACAAUAUCGAUCUAGGAAACGUAAAGCAUCAAAAUCAAAGUGCAGAAUCAUGAGUCAAGAACAGCCACAGAGACCACAAGCAGAGCAAUUCUCCGAGCAAGAACCCAUCAAAUAUGGUGACGUUUUCAACGUCUCUGGUGAAUUAGCCUCACAACCAAUCAAACCAAGAGACGCAGCUCUCAUGCAAGCCACAGAGAAUCAAGCCCUAGGACAAACCCAAAAGGGCAGUCCAGCCUCCGUGAUGCAAUCAGCAGCUGCAGUAAACACCGCUGCCGGCCUCGUAAGCCACGGAGACAUCUCAGACAUAGCAAAAAACCAAGGCAUGAGUGUCUCCAAAACCAAAGUGGGUGCAAACCGUGUGAUCACAGAAUCUGUUGGAUCACAAGUUGUUGGACAGUUUGUUGAACCUGAUGUGCCUAUGAAUGAUCCUGGUUUGGUUUUGGACAAGAAUGCUAUAACCAUUGGAGAGGCACUGGAAGCUUCUGCUUUGAGUCAAGCCGGUGAUAAGCCGUUGGAUCAGAGUGAUGCUGCUGCUAUACAGGCCGCGGAAAUGAGAGCUACCGGAAAGAAUCAUACUGAGCCCGGUGGGUUGGGUGCCAUAGCUCAGUCAGCAGCUACCAGAAAUACUCGUACUAUGCCUGAUCUGCAGAAAACUACAUUGGGUGAUGUCGUAUCGGUAACUUUUCUUACCUUGUGAUAUUGUUUUAUGCGUCAUAUUAAUCGAUGUUCUUGGAGCACUCUUAGCUUUAACAAAAACAAAAAAUGGAAAUUUUUUAUUAAAAAUAAUAUUUCUCUUACUUUCCAAAUUCCAUUGUAUUUUUUUUUAUCUAGUACCC